CGCUAAAUGGGUUCGCAAACGUAGCUCCAGUUCCAAAUGGUGAAUUGCCAAAUCCAGCCCCUGAUGUGGAAGUUGUUGCUCCAAAAGAGACAGUGCCAGGUCCAGAUGAGACUCCUGCUCCAAAUGACACGGUCCCAGGUCCAGAUGAGGAGGCUCCAGCUCCAGAGGACACGAUCCCAGGUCCAGAUGAGGAGGGUCCUGCUCCAAAUCCAGGUCCAGACGAGGCAGCUCCUGAUCC
rnacentral:lncRNA from 1 species